rnacentral:lncRNA from 1 species
UUUCAUCUUCUUACAUGCCUGGGCUCUUUAUUUUCUGAAGCAGCCUUAAUUUGGUUUCAAUUAACAUGCAUUGAUCAGCUCAUGUCUUAAAUCAAUUUUUUGGUUUUGCCCUUUUGUCCAAUUGACAAUAUUAUUGUUUCAUUUGGUAACUUUCUUGAGAUAAACACAAUGGAGUUGUUCCUUUUUUUUUCUUUUUUUUUAUAACCGAGAAAUCCGUCUGUGACCCGCCCUUUGGACCAAUCACAGCCUUCUAAACCGCUUCUAAACUCGGUGGAUAAUGGGCCCGCCCCUCUACCCUUCUCCACUUAAAUACCGGGCUUCGCUUUGCAUGGUGUGGGGCUUGAACCUGCGACCUAAGCCAUAAAUCCUCCACCUUUUGCCACUUGAGCUAGGCCUUGGGGGCAAUGGAGUUGUUCCUUUUCUGACCCAGGUUGUCUCUCUUUUUGACCAUCUA